rnacentral:lncRNA from 1 species
CCCGAGGUGGGGACGCUGGCUGCGGUGAGAGGCAGGGGCACAGCGGAUGCAGCUGCACCAGAGGCUGGGGGCCAGAUUGAGCACAGGGACCUGAGGGUUAGGCCAAGACACCUUUGGUGUUUACCCUUAAGGAAUGAAGAGCCAGCCAAGGCUUUCUAUCAGGGGCGUGGCAUGACCAAAGCUGCAGUUUUGAGAGUCAUUUUGCGAUCGGUUCUUGUGUGAGGGUGGAUCAGGAGGGAAAAGAAGGGGACUGAUGUGGGAAGACCGGUUCGGAGGCUGUGGAAACUGUCCAGGACCCAGCAGGGGAGGAUGGUCACCAGUGAAAGAAAGACAGAGGAGAAUGGAUAUCACUGAAAUUCCUGAUAUGGAAACAAAAAUGCACUGUCUUAACCAGAGGACACGGCUCCUGAGCAAAGAGGGCUACCCUUCUCCCAUUGCCUGUCCUGGAAGAAGACAGCUAAAUCCAAGGAUCAAAUCAGAGAAAAGCAAAUCGUUUUAAACUUCUAAGAGGUGUGAUAAAUAAGUGGGGGCUGAAGCAAAACUGUUUAAAAGCAGCUGAGUCCUUUAUUUUUAAACAAGACUUUCCCUGAUGACUUGGGUUCAUUUGUUAUUCAAUCACUUCCCAGUCAAUGCUAAAGGUCUGAAAGCUUUUGGCUGGUUUCAGUGGAAUAAUUUAAGUUGCUCUAAUAGAAAGACCAGAAGGGUGAAUUAUACAAAUUUAUUCUGAGUCAACCAAAAACUUCACAAAAUAAGAGAACCUGUGGUUUGAGAAGAGAGAGUGCACAUCAGUGGGUGUGUAUGCCAUUCUAUACACGGGAUGCCAUUCCAAUGGACAAAGAUCUUUAGUCCAGAUGACAAACAUCUCAGGUGUGUGGCUCCACCCAGACCCUAAUUUCACAGUUUCAUACUAAUUGAGUCACAUAUCAUGACUGUGGUGGACCUGUCUCUUGUGCAUUUUCCAAUUUUCAGUGAAGUUCAUUAAAAAAUUACAGAGGUUAUCCAUUUGAAAAUGUUCCUUGGUUCACACUUUCUUUGAAGAUCAUCAUAAGCAAAGUUACUGUUUGUCGCACACACACAUUGUAAGUGUUCACACAGUGGUUUCUUGUUUUUUGUUUGUUUUGGUUUUUGAGACAAAGUCUCACUCUGUUGCCCAGGUUGGAGUGCAGUGGCACGAUCUCCUCGGCUCAGUGCAACCUCUGCCUCCCAGGUUCAAGAGAUUCCCUCCCUCAGCUUCCUGAGUAAUUGGGACUACAGGCGCAUGCCACCACGUCUGGCUCAUUUUUAUAAUUUCGGUAGAGACGAGGUUUCACCAUGUUGGCCAGGAUGGUCUUGAUCUCCUGACCUUGUGAUCCACCUGUCUCCGCCUCCCAAAGUGCUGGGAUUACAGGCGUGAGCCACCAUGCCUG